rnacentral:rRNA from 1 species
UGUAUGACUCUCGACAAUGGAUAUCUUGGCUCUUGCAUCGAUGAAGAGCGCAGCGAAAUGCGAUACGUGGUGUGAAUUGCAGAAUCCCGUGAAUCAUCGAAUCUUUGAACGCAAGUUGCGCCCGAGGCCAAUUGGUUGAGGGCACGCCUGCCUGGGCGUCAAGCA